rnacentral:rRNA from 1 species
ACGCCGCGUGAGUGAUGAAGGUUUUCGGAUCGUAAAGCUCUGUUGUUAGGGAAGAACAAGUGCAAGAGUAACUGCUUGCACCUUGACGGUACCUAACCAGAAAGCCACGGCUAACUACGUGCCAGCAGCCGCGGUAAUACGUAGGUGGCAAGCGUUGUCCGGAAUUAUUGGGCGUAAAGGGCUCGCAGGCGGUUUCUUAAGUCUGAUGUGAAAGCCCCCGGCUCAACCGGGGAGGGUCAUUGGAAACUGGGAAACUUGAGUGCAGAAGAGGAGAGUGGAAUUCCACGUGUACGGUGAAAUGCGUAAGAUGUGGAGGAACACCAGUGGCGAAGGCGACUCUCUGGUCUGUAACUGACGCUGAGGAGCGAAAGCGUGGGGAGCGAACAGGAUUAGAUACCCUGGUAGUCCACGCCGUAAACGAUGAGUGCUAAGUGUUAGGGGGUUUCCGCCCCUUAGUGCUGCAGCUAACGCAUUAAGCACUCCGCCUGGGGAGUACGGUCGCAAGACUGAAACUCAAAGGAAUUGACGGGGGCCCGCACAAAGCGGUGGAGCAUGUGGUUUAAUUCCGAAAGCCAACGCGAAAGAACCUUUACCCAGGGUCUUGACAUCCUCUGACAACCCUAGAGAU